UUCAUUUGUUUUCCACAUAACAUUAUAUUAUAUAUUCCUUUUGAUUAGGGCUUAGCUAUAAGAGAUUGUGUUGUGUGUUUUUUUAGCUGCCAAUCAUAUCCUCUUCUUACAAAGUUGAUUCCUUUGCUUCCUUCUUAAGCCACAUUUCAACCAAUAAAUUUCCUUUUCUGUCUCACCUAUAGUUUGAUAAAUAUAUUAGUUAUGUAACCAAAUUGUUUGGGCAAGAGCUCCUUCGAAGGAUGUAUAUGGGGAAUAGCAGAUUCGAUUUUCAGGGGAACAAUUCUUGACCAGUGCGCAUGCUUCUACACAUGAGUCAGAUUAGUUGUCCACUUUUGGUGAGUCGAAAACCGUUGCGAAAGCUAAAAAAAUAAAUAAAUAUAUUACUAUGUGCAUGGCAUGCUUUGCUUUUUCUUCAUUGAGUAAGGUUAUGGUGUAAAUUAAUUAGCUCACUUUUCUUUUCAUGGUCACAUUUGCAUUUCUUCUAAUAAUGAAUAUCACUUUUAUGCUUCCUCUAAUUAUUUUAAUAUUUAUUUUUUUGGUUUUGAGUGCGAUGGGUUAUUUUUACUUUGCUUUUAUGUAUAUGCUUUUCCCCUCACUCAACUUGGAGAUU
rnacentral:lncRNA from 1 species